rnacentral:lncRNA from 1 species
UUGUUUUCAAAAUUCAAAAUAAAAGUACGCUUCCAUCUUCUCUUAAACAAGAAUGUCAGCCGCCACCCACUCCACCAUCAUCUCUCCUUCGUCGCUCAUCCACUGCACCACCAACAUCCACCGUCUCCCUCACCAUUAAACCACCAGAAGCCCGCAUACACUAGCAUAGCUCCACCACUCGACCACCUCGACAACUUUAUUUUAGGCCUCGACAACAUUAUCCAUUGUUGCUAUCAUCCACUUACGUUCCAUCUAUGUUUCGCUCUUUCUUAAAACUCUCUCUCUCUCUCUCUCUCUCUCUCUCUCUCUCUGUUGCGAUUAAAGACACACACAUGCACCAUUACACCUCGCCUUCUCUCUAUAUCUCUACGCACAACACUACUAGAUUUUGAAACAGAUAUGGGCUAGCAGAUGACCCUGAGAUGAUUUUGGUUUCCUUCAGGAUUUUUCUCAACAAUUCUUUAUAUGUCGAUUUUCUGUAAGUAUUUCUUCAUCCGCCUGUAGCUUAAGCAUCGUUGGUUUUUUAUUUUUUAAAAAGAGACAUUUUUCAUCUGUCGAUUAUAUCACAUAUUAAAACACACUUUCGUGUUUUUUUUGAAUCCCAGGUAGGUUUCAUUUAGUUUUUUUAUUUUUUUUUUAUUUUUUUUAUUUUUUAUUUUAUUAUUAUUAUUAUUAUUUUUUUAAUUUUCAAUCUGCCUUAAUUGUUUCAGACAAGUAUUUGGUUUUAGCCUUUAUAAAACACUUUCAUGUCAGUCUUAACAGAAUCUUAUCUGCUUUCCAGUAAACCAGGUAGUUUAACAGCCAAAGAACAUUUCUUUUGCUUCUUUUUCUUACGUGAUUUUAGUGUCACUAUGCCUAUUAUACAAAAUUAUCUCAAAAGCUCAGAUUUAAUUCUAAUACAACUCAGAAAAAAAAAUGGUCUUACUCUCUGUUUUGUUUGAUGCUGUUUGAUGCAGGGUCUUAUUACUCUCUGUUUUGUUUGAUGCAGGGCCUUCAUCUCAUAAGCAACUUACACGUAAGCUUUUGGGAUCUUUGGGUUUUGUUCUUUGCUUUGUACCAAAUUAAUUUAAUCACUUUCUAUAUUAAAUUUCAAAUCAUCGGGUAAUUUUAGUAGGCUAAAUGCAAGGAAAAGAAUCUUUGACCAUGUCAAUUUUUUGUUUUUUUAUUUGUCUUCAUGCACCAACAUAGUUGGUAGUAACCUGUGUGAUGGUUCCUUGAGGUCAAACCCUAAGAAAAAGAGUAGGAUACUGUUCGAAAGAAGGUUAAAUGUGAUAACAAGCUUUAUGAAGAAAAAAGAGAAAUUGUGAUGUUAUUCCCGACGACAAAAACUAAAACUGGUGAAAUCUUAUUUUCAUUUCUCUUUUUUACAACAUUGCAAUAGAUGGAACCCCGGAAGCACAAGAUGGAAAUCUUGAGACUAAGGGGGUGUUUGAGAUAUCUUUUGAGAGGGCAAAAGAACUUUUAGGAAAAGAUAACAAAUAAAAGAUGUUUAGGGAAAGCUCUUUAAAAGCUUCUUUUGGAUUUUUUUAAGAAGGAAAAAUGACUUUUUGGAAAAGUCAGGGAAACCUAGUUUUUUGUAACUUUUCCCAAAAGUUUUUUUUGCCUGAAAAGAUACCCCAAACAUCCCCUAAAAAUUAAAAAAAAAAAGAAAGUCAACACAGAUGACAAUUUAUGAAAUAGCAUGUUUUGGAAGCUGAAGAUGGAAACAUGGAUACUGAAAACUCUAAAAGAAGUCAAAAGGCUAUAAAAAAUAACUAAUAUAUGAAACCACCCUUCCAUCGAGUCCUCUUCAUUGUUCCUUUAUCGUUCCUUCCAUACUAUUCUCUUCAUUGCCCCUAUCACCCCUCCACUUCUUUAUUUCUCUUCAACACACAUACUCAAAAACUCCCAUAUCUUAACACCCAUAUCAUAGCAGGUAACUUACAAAAUCUGUAAUUUCUUUUGCAGUAUCUUAUUUGGGUUAUGAUUUUAUUCAUAUUUUGUACUUUUUAUGUCAAUGCUUUAAAGUAGGCUAUCACAGACUAUAUAUAUAUAAUGCAAUAUAAUAAUGAUAUUAUUUUAUUUUCAGUGACGAUUUCAAUUGAAUUAACAAACAUUGAGUUCGAACCGGAAAUGCCAACAACGGAUAACAUUAGGAUUAUGCAUCGUAACAUUUUUAAUAUUUUGAGACAUUUGGUGGUGAAUGUUAUAUUUAUUGACAAGUUUUUAUAUUAAAGUCAUAGGGUGUAGUCGAUCGAGUUAUUAAUGUGAGACUUUUUGUAGUGGAUGUUUCAUAUAUGUAUAAGUAUUUAAAU